rnacentral:lncRNA from 1 species
UUUAUAGCGUAAAAGCUAAAUAAAUUUAUACAUAUUGAAAUACAGUAAGCCAAAAUAUUUAAUUUAAUUUACAAUAACAAGAGGGCCCCCGAAUAAACAAAAGUAAAGAGGACUGUGAACCUACGGUUUGGAAAAUGCAGGUCCAAUGGUAGUCCUCGAUGAGAUCAGCUAUCUACAGUCUAUACUGAACCUGAAAUGGAUGGAAAGGAGGGUGGUGAGAUUAUAAAAUCCCAAUGAGUAAACAAACAUUAUCAUAAAUAUCUAAAGGCGAGUAAAAUGGAGGCAAGUUUAAACAACAAAUUUCAACCCAUUUCAUAAUGUUUUCAAUUUAUUUCUUAAACCAUAAAAUAUUUGUAAUUUACCAAAACAGUUGUUAAGGCUUAUGUCUUUUAUUAAAAUAAGGCUCAAGCCAAAACUAAUCCUCGGGGAUACCUUGGCCGAGGCAUCUAACCGAGUUCGCCAAGGGUGUUAAAAUAUUCACACGUG